rnacentral:misc_RNA from 1 species
ACAGAGCCCCCAAACCACAGAAAAAACAGGCAGAACAUACAGACCCAGAUAAUCACCAAUAUAACUGAUGGGAUCAUAAUAUUGACAAAAAUCUGCUCGUUAUAAAACCCAUUCCAAAAGCUGCAUUGUUUGAGUGAAGAUCAAGAGAAGUCAAGAUGGCGGCGUUUCUGGUCUUGGUUGCUGCAAUUCUUGUUCAGUUGGUCUUUUCUUCGGAUGACAUAACGGUUUGUUGUACGUCGUCUCAAGUUUCCAGCUUCAGGUCCUCUGUUUCGGACAGUUGUCCCGUCGAUUCUAUAGAAAUAAACUGCGACAAAGAACCUUUGGAGUUUUCGGUUUUACCAGAGUAAGGCUUCUACUCACUGCAUGUGGAAAUCAAACACACGACGGAAACCCAGCUUUUCCCACCACAUCUCUUGAACAGCAAACCGAUACCUGUGUGCCUAUGUACACGUGAAGCAAUGGGCACGGAAAGUAGGAAACAUGAGAAUGGCUUUAAGCUUUUGAUAAAAUUUUGUAGGAUGUGGAAAUAAACCCGCCGAUAUAGAGUUCGUGUUAGAUUCAAGCGGAAGUAUCUUGUUUAAAGACUUCCGGAAGCAGCUCCAGUUCACGGAGAACUUGGUGGAUCUGUUUGACAUCGGCAGCAAUAAAACCCGUGUAGGAAUGGUCAGCUUCAGUACAGAUGUUAUACCAGAGUUCAGGUUGGGUGAGAAUGACAACAAAGAAGACAUCAAGAAAAAGAUAGCAGGAGUUAAAUACCAAGGGGGAAGAACCAACACGGGGGAUGCCCUUCAUUACGUCAGAACCAGGACAUUUCCGGUGGGAGGCGGCCGGCGACCAAACGUGCCCCACAUCACCAUCGUGCUGACAGACGGGAUGUCCCAGAAUUCGUCGUACACUGAGCAAGAGGCAGCGGCUGUGCACGGGCAGGGGAUCACGGUAUUUGUGAUCGGGAUCGGCAAUCAGGUAGACGAAAAAGAACUUGCGGCUAUAGCAAGUACUCCAACAGACAAUUUUAUGUUCAAGAUAGACAACUUUGACGCACUUCAGUCUAUCAAAGAUCGACUGGCUGUCAGAACAUGCAAAGUUCCCCCUGCUACACCCGCUCCACCCACCCCACCCACCGUCAAUGAGGACGCGGUGUUGUAUGGGAACGCUCACUGCGGCCCAAAGAUACCAGUGGACUUAAAGAUAGUGUUCGACACUUCUGCGAUUGGUCUCGACAACUCCAAGUUCAUCAUGCGAUUUAUCGCCGAUGUGUCGGACCGCCUGGACCUACAGCAGAGCCAGUCGGAGGUCGGUACGGUGACUAACGACUGUGCCACCAAGAGUCUGGCUGACGUGUCGUUCGGUUCCGGCCAUGAUCGGGAAAAACUGGAGCAGUCGUUGGUCGGAACCUCUCCCAGUUUCUCUUGGAUGAUGCGGAAGCUGCGCCUCAGCUUUGACCAACAGGAGCAGCGUAAGAAGGUGGCGGUCGUGUUUCUGGGGGAGACACUGGACGGGGCCGAGUUCCGGAAGGUCCUGCGGGAGACUGGCCGCGCGAAGUUUAUGGGAAUCCAGAUACUGGUGGUUGGGGUGGGGACACGGGUCAACUCCCGCCAGGCCAGCUUCCUGGCGACCCAGGCCAAUCAAGUGUUCUUUGCUUUGUCGUAUGAUAUCAUAGAUGAGUUAGAAGGACCUUUGUUGUUACAGAUAUGUACACUAAAUUAAACAUUGGAAUACUUUAGUAUAUUCAAAGAUGUUAAUUGCUAUCAUUUUGCGCGUUACAUUUUGAUUACAUUUUAUCCUUUUUUAGCAAUUACGACCGUUUUCUUGCUUGAAGUGCCUACGUGAUAGACGUCUGAAAACCAAAAAUAUUAAUUAUGGAUAUAUUGUGGACAUGUACAUUAUUUCAACUCGUCACAACUAUUAUAUUCGACAUUUAACUGGAGUACAACUCACCCCAUUUUCCAUCUUUUGUGAUUUUUGCAUGAACAUUCCGGUAAAAGAUCCGUUUGUGGACUCUUUUAUGAUAGUGGUAUUCUUCAAAUAGUUGGUGCCGUUUUUGUUUAGAAUCUAAGAAAAAUCUACGGAAUAUUAUGCAUGUAUAUUUACAUGGUUUGCCCGAAAAGCUAGUGUUGUAUAGAUGCCUUGUUACUGCAAUGUUUCCAUUAAUAUUCUUUUAAAAUAAAAUUCCAC